GGAAGUAAAAGUCGUAACAAGGUUUCCGUAGGUGAACCUGCGGAAGGAUCAUUGUCGAAACCUUCAAAGCAGACCCGCGAACACGUGUUUAACUUAUUUGGGCACCGAGAUUUGCCGGACAAGACGCUCGCGUCGACCGCAAGUCAACGUCCCGCUCCCGAGAGACGCUUGCGUUGAUCGGGAUAACGAACCCCGGCGCAAAACGCGCCAAGGAAAACUAAAUGAAGUGUCGCCGCCAUCCGAAUGCCCGUCCGCGGAUCCAUUCGUUUGGUUGAGGCAUCUCUCUAUGUCAAAACGACUCUCGGCAACGGAUAUCUCGGCUCUCGCAUCGAUGAAGAACGUAGCAAAAUGCGAUACUUGGUGUGAAUUGCAGAAUCCCGUGAAUCAUCGAGUCUUUGAACGCAAGUUGCGCCCGAAGUCUUUAGGCUGAGGGCACGCCUGCGUGGGCGUCACGCAUCGCGUCGCCCCCCUCACAAUCCCUUGGAAUGUGGAUGGGGCGGAUAUUGGCAUCCCGUGAUUUAAUUGCGCGGCCUGCCCAAAUGAGAUGUCGCAUCGUCGGAUGUCACGACUAUUGUUGGUUGAACUCUCUUCUUUAUGAUAUGUCGUGUCGGAACCCGUACGCUGUUUGUGCAUUUUUUAUAACCCAAUGGCUCGAAUCGUGCCUACGACCGCGACCCCACGUCAGGCGGGACUACCCGCUGAGUUUAA
rnacentral:rRNA from 1 species